AACAAACGCUGGCGGCGUGCCUAACACAUGCAAGUCGUACGAGAAAGGGUCCUUCGGGGCCUGAGUAAAGUGGCGCACGGGUAAGUAACGCGUGGAUAAUCUGCCCUUCAGUUGGGAAUAACUCAUCGAAAGGUAGGCUAAUACCGAAUAAUGCUGUGAGACCUCGGUUGAUCAGCCAAAGAGAGCCUCUGCUUGCAAGCCCUCGCUGAAGGAUGAGUCCGCGUACCAUUAGCUAGUUGGUAGGGUAAUGGCCUACCAAGGCGACGAUGGUUAGCUGGUCUGAGAGGAUGAUCAGCCACACUGGAACUGAGACACGGUCCAGACUCCUACGGGAGGCAGCAGUGAGGAAUCUUGCGCAAUGGGGGCAACCCUGACGCAGCAACGCCGCGUGAGUGAGGAAGGUCUUCGGAUCGUAAAGCUCUGUCGGAUGGAAAGAACCGCAUAGGGGUAAACAGCCCUUGUGUCUGACGGUACCAUCAAAGGAAGCACCGGCUAACUCCGUGCCAGCCGCCGCAGUAAAAC
rnacentral:rRNA from 1 species